UCCCGCGUCCUUAUGUCACAUUCUGUAGUUCAUUGCGCGAAUGAUAAACAAUAUUUAUUACACAGGUGUUGUUUUUAUUAAUAAAUAAUUUUCAUUCCUGAAGCAUCACCAUAUCUUAUUUUACAUUUGUGUAAAUAAAUAUAUAAUAUACGCACGUGGCAUUUUUUUCAUCGCUAUUGCUGGCAUUAUAUUUUCACGAGCACCUAUCAAUUGUUUAGAUCAUAUAAAAGAAGAGUGGCCACGUGAUAGUGUUUUUCACGAUUGAUUCUUGACAAAUUUAAUAAGCAUUCUUUUAAAUUUUUAAGUAUAUAGAUUUAUAAAUGAUGAACUGUCAAUUGUUGAUAAGGAAGCAGUUACAAUAGAGAAAAAUAGAAUGAUCAAUGGCUUCAUAUUAUAUUGAUAUUUUAGUAUUUUAAUUACAUUUAUCUAUGGAAUAUUUUUUCUUUGGGUAUUUUUAAAAUGAAGUGAUAAUAUUGAGUGCGUUGAAAUUCAUAAAAAGUUUUAAUAUCCGAGCGAAUAUAGUACACACUUUUUAUAAAUCAGCAUCAAAUAUGAAAAUAAAUUGACCUCGUUGCAAAUAGUUUAAAAAUUCAAACAAGUUUAUAAUGAACAAAAUUUUUUUAUUGUGAAAAUGAAUCACAGAGACUAUUUAUUCGCCAGAGUUUAACUACUUAUAUUUAUAAAUACUCGAUAUUUACGUAGAGAAAUUUAAAUAUGAAUAUCAUAAAUUUAACAAAUAUCACUGACCCAAUUCCGUUGAUUAAAUUUUGUAUGAUUUUUGAAAAUGAUUGAAACAAGUUGGAGUUUUUUAACAGCAGAGCGAACUUGUAACUCGUUAUAACUUCUGAGAAAGUUGUGAGUCAUCAAAAUUCAAACAAUUUUCUUACUUUAAACGAUACAAAUUUUUUCUUUUGUAUUGUUAGCAACAAUUUAUAUUAGUUGAAGGAUUUAUCAUUAUUAAACUAAAAAACUAACUAUAACAUUUUUUAAUGGUAAAUAAGCCCGAGCUUAUUAAUCAUUUAAACUGAUUUAUGAAUAAAUAAACCAUAAUUACUUAUAUAAAAAUGGCAAUACCGCUUUUGAAACCACUUAUCUCUAGAUUUAAUUGCUCCAUUGCAGGAACAAAACUGACCAACUGAUGAAUCUUGGUAUCAAACGUGAUGCUGCAAAUUCACAAAAAUUCAAGCUGCUGUGCCGCUGCUGGUCAGGUCUCUAGCUGGAUUGUCUUCUGUUGGUAUUUCAUCGCCGGCAGUUUGUUCUUCGACAAACUAAACAUACAAAUGUCUUUCCGAUAUGCAUCGACGACUUUUACAAAUCGGGAGGUGUCACGAGCGCUAAAAAAUCCACCAAAGUCAGCAAGAAAAGUGUGGAAUCAUUAUUUGAAAAUUUUAUCAAACAGCUGCGAGGCUUUACUUUUUCGGAUAAUGUAUGUGUAAUGUCUUUUAUAUACAAGUACAGUUUGAGUAUAGAUGUAUUGAUUUAGCAGGCAACAGAAGAUGAUACCGCUAUUUUUUUUUUCUAAAUGAAAAUUAAAUUUUUUAUUAAAAAAAUUGAAAAAAAAAAAAAAUUAAUUCAAUUAUCUUUUUAAUGCAUUAUUCGCAGGGCAGUAAAUUACAAAGCAACAGACAUUUCAAAAAAAUGAAUAUAAUAUAUUUCCUCGAGGAAUACAAUAAAUGUGGCUUAUCUCCACACCAU